GGUGGUUCAGUGGUAGAGCACAUGCCUUGCAUGCAUGAGGCCCUAGGUUUGAUUCCCCAGCACCA
rnacentral:tRNA from 1 species